AGGGUUUGAUCAUGGCUCAGAUUGAACGCUGGCGGCAGGCCUGACACAUGCAAGUCGAGCGGUAGAGAGAAGCUUGCUUCUCUUGAGAGCGGCGGACGGGUGAGUAAUGCCUAGGAAUCUGCCUGGUAGUGGGGGAUAACGUUCGGAAACGGACGCUAAUACCGCAUACGUCCUACGGGAGAAAGCAGGGGACCUUCGGGCCUUGCGCUAUCAGAUGAGCCUAGGUCGGAUUAGCUAGUUGGUGAGGUAAUGGCUCACCAAGGCGACGAUCCGUAACUGGUCUGAGAGGAUGAUCAGUCACACUGGAACUGAGACACGGUCCAGACUCCUACGGGAGGCAGCAGUGGGGAAUAUUGGACAAUGGGCGAAAGCCUGAUCCAGCCAUGCCGCGUGUGUGAAGAAGGUCUUCGGAUUGUAAAGCACUUUAAGUUGGGAGGAAGGGUUGUAGAUUAAUACUCUGCAAUUUUGACGUUACCGACAGAAUAAGCACCGGCUAACUCUGUGCCAGCAGCCGCGGUAAUACAGAGGGUGCAAGCGUUAAUCGGAAUUACUGGGCGUAAAGCGCGCGUAGGUGGUUUGUUAAGUUGGAUGUGAAAUCCCCGGGCUCAACCUGGGAACUGCAUUCAAAACUGACUGACUAGAGUAUGGUAGAGGGUGGUGGAAUUUCCUGUGUAGCGGUGAAAUGCGUAGAUAUAGGAAGGAACACCAGUGGCGAAGGCGACCACCUGGACUAAUACUGACACUGAGGUGCGAAAGCGUGGGGAGCAAACAGGAU
rnacentral:rRNA from 1 species